GAUGAACGCUGGCGGCGUGCCUAAUACAUGCAAGUCGAGCGAACGGACGAGAAGCUUGCUUCUCUGAUGUUAGCGGCGGACGGGUGAGUAACACGUGGAUAACCUACCUAUAAGACUGGGAUAACUUCGGGAAACCGUAGCUAAUACCGGAUAAUCUUUUGAACCGCAUUGUUCAAAAGUGAAAGACGGUCUUGCUGUCACUUAUAGAUGGCUCCGCGCUGCAUUAGCUAGUUGGUAAGGUAACGGCUUACCAAGGCAACGAUGCAUAGCCGACCUGAGAGGGUGAUCGGCCACACUGGAACUGAGACACGGUCCAGACUCCUACGGGAGGCAGCAGUAGGGAAUCUUCCGCAAUGGGCGAAAGCCUGACGGAGCAACGCCGCGUGAGUGAUGAAGGUCUUCGGAUCGUAAAACUCUGUUAUUAGGGAAGAACAUAUGUGUAAGUAACUGUGCACAUCUUGACGGUACCUAAUCAGAAAGCCACGGCUAACUACGUG
rnacentral:rRNA from 1 species